rnacentral:rRNA from 1 species
GACGAACGCUGGCGGCGUGCUUAACACAUGCAAGUCGAACGGAAAGGCCCUGCUUGCAGGGUACUCGAGUGGCGAACGGGUGAGUAACACGUGGGUGAUCUGCCCUGCACUUCGGGAUAAGCUUGGGAAACUGGGUCUAAUACCGGAUAGGAACCAUCUUUAGUGUGGUGGUUGGAAAGUUUUUUCGGUGUAGGAUGAGCUCGCGGCCUAUCAGCUUGUUGGUGGGGUAAUGGCCUACCAAGGCGGCGACGGGUAGCCGGCCUGAGAGGGUGUACGGCCACAUUGGGACUGAGAUACGGCCCAGACUCCUACGGGAGGCAGCAGUGGGGAAUAUUGCACAAUGGGCGCAAGCCUGAUGCAGCGACGCCGCGUGGGGGAUGAAGGCCCUCGGGUUGUAAACUCCGUUCGCUAGGGACGAAGCUUUGUUGUGACGGUACCUAGAUAAGAAGCACCGGCUAACUACGUG